UUUGUGUAGAUAUAAUGGUUGUUGAAAUAUAAUGGUAGAUAUAUUUAUUAUUAUGAGAACUUAUCUAAUCUAUUAUUAUACAUCAUAAAACAACUUUUAAAACAACUUUUAAAAAACCUUACCGGAGUCCUACAUCCAUAACUUUAGAGUAGUUAGAGUAUUGAUUUGUGUCUGAUUUUUUUAGUCUAUUUUCUGGUUUUUCAAUAAAGUGAGUUUUAUACUAUAUAGGAUUGAAUACAGAUCUUAUUAGUCUGAGUUUAAUUAAAUUACUAAAAAUGUAUGAUUUUGUAAUUAAUUAGAAAAAUAGAAAAAUGUGUGAUUUUUAAUUAAUUCUGAAUUACAACCUUUAAAUUUAAU
rnacentral:lncRNA from 1 species